GAAGUGGUACACAUCCCUUCUUCUACACCCCACUGCAACGAAAACAGUUCCAUGGCCACACCAAAUUAAAGGGAUAUUGGAAAAGAUAGGAGAAACAAGUUAUGGUGAACAAAUAAGAAAUUCCUAGCAAUCUGUAGACCAAGAUGGGGAAGCUUCUCAUGAGUGAAUGAAUACUUAGGCAAGAAAAGAAGUCCACUGCUCAAGAGUUCCACUGGACAGACUCUCCAGCCAACCUGCACUUCUGCCAGGGCCCAAAAUAUGCCUUGGGCUUUUCUAACAUAUCAACCUUUUGUAUAGAAACCAGACAUCUAAAGGAAUAGGAAGGGUAAGAUUUACAUCUAAUAGCUCCAGUUCUGGAUAAGGUGUAGUAAGCAUAUUCCAUUCUUUCUCUCACAACUAUAAAAAAAAUGGGUAGAAAGAACUGAGGACUAGAAAAGUAAAUAGGAGCGAGCAUACUGGCAUUCUCCUCCAAUCUCCAAGGUGACUUCUU
rnacentral:lncRNA from 1 species